CGGGUGCGUAACGCGUUGGUGACCUGCCCCGAAGUGUGGGAUAACAGUUUCGAAAGGACUGCUAAUACCGCAUGUGGACACGAGGGUUAGAGUCUUUGUGUCUAAAGCAGUAAUGCGCUUCGGGAGGGACCUGCGUCCCAUCAGCUAGUUGGUGAGGUAACGGCCCACCAAGGCUACGACGGGUAGGGGACCUGAGAGGGUGGUCCCCCACACUGGCACUGAAACACGGGCCAGACACCUACGGGUGGCAGCAGUAGGGAAUAUUGGGCAAUGGGCGAAAGCCUGACCCAGCAACGCCGCGUGCAUGAUGAAGGUCUUCGGAUCGU
rnacentral:rRNA from 1 species